rnacentral:siRNA from 1 species
CAGCUGUGUUGCUUCAUCCU